rnacentral:rRNA from 1 species
GACGAACGCUGGCGGCGUGCUUAACACAUGCAAGUCGAACGGAAAGGCCCUGCUUUUGUGUGGUGCUCGAGUGGCGAACGGGUGAGUAACCCGUGAGUAACCUUCCCUUGACUUUGGGAUAACUUCAGGAAACUGGUGCUAAUACCGGCUAGGAGCUCCUGCUGCAUGGUGGUGUUUGGACAGUUUCGGCGGGGGGGGCUGGACUGCCGGCUUAUCAGCUUGUUGGGGGGGUAGCGGCUUACCCAGGCUUCGGUGGGUGGCCGGCACGGGUGGGUGGACGGCCACCAGGGGCCUGCGGGACGGACCAGUCGGCUACGGGAGGCAGCGGUGGGGAGUAUUGCACAAUGGGCGGAAGCCUGAUGCGGCAACGCCGCGUGCGGGAUGCCGGCCUUCGGGGUGUAAACCGCAUUAGCCUGUGACGAAGCGUGAGUGACGGUAAUGGGUGAAGAAGCACCGGCUAACUACGUG